CUUCUGGACUCCCCUUUCUUAUCUAUGUAUCAGAUACUUCUUUGAAGUUUUAACACAAUUUUGGUAUACAGUUAAACAACCUUGAGCUUGCGGUAAAUCUUGCCAAGAGGGCUAAUCUUCUUGGUGCUGAGAAUUUGGUUGUCCAAAGAUUUCAGGAAUUGUUUGCACAGACAAAAUACAAGGAAGUAGCAGAGCUGGCUGCGGAAUCUCCCCAGGGCCUGCUGAGGACGCCUGAGACCGUAGCGAAAUUUCAGG